GACGAACGCUGGCGGCGUGCUUAACACAUGCAAGUCGAACGGAAAGGCCCUGCUUGCAGGGUACUCGAGUGGCGAACGGGUGAGUAACACGUGGGUGAUCUGCCCUGCACUUCGGGAUAAGCCUGGGAAACUGGGUCUAAUACCGGAUAGGAGCCAUUUUUAGUGAGAUGGUUGGAAAGUUUUUUCGGUGUAGGAUGAGCUCGCGGCCUAUCAGCUUGUUGGUGGGGUAAUGGCCUACCAAGGCGGCGACGGGUAGCCGGCCUGAGAGGGUGGACGGCCACAUUGGGACUGAGAUACGGCCCAGACUCCUACGGGAGGCAGCAGUGGGGAAUAUUGCACAAUGGGCGCAAGCCUGAUGCAGCGACGCCGCGUGGGGGAUGACGGCCUUCGGGUUGUAAACUCCUUUCGCUAGGGACGAAGCUUUUUGUGACGGUACCUAGAUAAGAAGCACCGGCUAACUACGUG
rnacentral:rRNA from 1 species